rnacentral:rRNA from 1 species
GAGUGAACGCUGGUGGUAGGCCUAACACAUGCAAGUCGAACGGCAGCACAGUAAGAGCUUGCUCUUACGGGUGGCGAGUGGCGGACGGGUGAGGAAUACAUCGGAAUCUACUUUUUCGGGGGGGAUAACGUAGGGAAACUUACGCUAAUACCGCAUACGACCUACGGGUGAAAGCAGGGGAUCUUCGGACCUUGCGCGAUUGAAUGAGCCGAUGUCGGAUUAGCUAGUUGGCGGGGUAAAGGCCCACCAAGGCGACGAUCCGUAGCUGGUCUGAGAGGAUGAUCAGCCACACUGGAACUGAGACACGGUCCAGACUCCUACGGGAGGCAGCAGUGGGGAAUAUUGGACAAUGGGCGCAAGCCUGAUCCAGCCAUACCGCGUGGGUGAAGAAGGCCUUCGGGUUGUAAAGCCCUUUUGUUGGGAAAGAAAAGCAGCAGGUUAAUACCCCGCUGUUCUGACGGUACCCAAAGAAUAAGCACCGGCUAACUUCGUG